rnacentral:rRNA from 1 species
AGUGAACGCUGGCGGUAGGCCUAACACAUGCAAGUCGAACGGCAGCACAGUAAGAGCUUGCUCUUACGGGUGGCGAGUGGCGGACGGGUGAGGAAUACAUCGGAAUCUACUUUUUCGUGGGGGAUAACGUAGGGAAACUUACGCUAAUACCGCAUGCGACCUACGGGUGAAAGCAGGGGAUCUUCGGACCUUGCGCGAUUGAAUGAGCCGAUGUCGGAUUAGCUAGUUGGCGGGGUAAAGGCCCACCAAGGCGACGAUCCGUAGCUGGUCUGAGAGGAUGAUCAGCCACACUGGAACUGAGACACGGUCCAGACACCUACGGGAGGCAGCAGUGGGGAAUAUUGGACAAUGGGCGCAAGCCUGAUCCAGCCAUACCGCGUGGGUGAAGAAGGCCUUCGGGUUGUAAAGCCCUUUUGUUGGGAAAGAAAAGCAGCAGGUUAAUACCCCGCUGUUCUGACGGUACCCAAAGAAUAAGCACCGGCUAACUUCGUG